AGUGAACGCUGGCGGUAGGCCUAACACAUGCAAGUCGAACGGCAGCACAGUAAGAGCUUGCUCUUACGGGUGGCGAGUGGCGGACGGGUGAGGAAUACAUCGGAAUCUACUUUUUCGUGGGGGAUAACGUAGGGAAACUUACGCUAAUACCGCAUACGACCUGCGGGUGAAAGCAGGGGAUCUUCGGACCUUGCGCGAUUGAAUGAGCCGAUGUCGGAUUAGCUAGUUGGCGGGGUAAAGGCCCACCAAGGCGACGAGCCGUAGCUGGUCUGAGGGGAUGAUCAGCCACACUGGAAGUGAGACACGGUCCAGACUCCUACGGGAGGCAGCAGUGGGGAAUAUUGGACGAUGGGCGCAAGCCUGAUCCAGCCAUACCGCGUGGGUGAAGAAGGCCUUCGGGUUGGAAAGCCCUUUUGUUGGGAAAGAAAAGCAUCAGGUUAAUACCCCGCUGUUCUGACGGUACCCAAAGAAUAAGCACCGGCUAACUUCGUG
rnacentral:rRNA from 1 species